rnacentral:rRNA from 1 species
GUAGUCUCGCACAGAUGCAUAUCAAUAAGCGGAGGAAAAGAAACUAACAAGGAUUCCCUCAGUAACGGCGAGUGAAGCGGGAAGAGCUCAAAUUUGAAAUCUUGAAAGGUCACCUUUCACGAAUUGUAGUUUAAAGAAGUGUUUUCUGUUACGAUCGUAAUAUAAGUUCUUUGGAAUAGGACAUCACAGAGGGUGAGAAUCCCGUCUAUGAUUGCGAUUUGUAGCUUUGUGAUACACUUUCAAAGAGUCGGGUUGUUUGGGAAUGCAGCCCAAAACGGGAGGUAAAUUUCUUCUAAGGCUAAAUAUUGGCGAGAGACCGAUAGCGAACAAGUACGGUGAGGGAAAGAUGAAAAGAACUUUGAAAAGAGAGUUAAAUAGUACGUGAAAUUGUCAAAAGGGAAGCGUUUAACACCAGUGUUGUUUUCUGAAAAUCAACCUCUGUUAGCUUUAUGCAUGUUUGUUUAGACCUAAUCAGCUAUCUUGCAUGUUCUAUUGUUUGCAGUGGUGCACUUUUCAGUUUACAGGUCAACAUCAGUUUUUUACCGUAAAAAAGUUAAAGAAAGGUAGCUCAUGGCUCCGGUCGUGAGUGUUAUAGUCUUUUUCCUAUGCGGUAGGAGAGACUGAGGUCUGCAGUGUAGGCUAUUUGGCUAGAUACUCAGGUGCUAUGUGAUACCAUUUCAUAAACAACUUGUUGAUUAUGUUUUGUCUAUUGCAUACUCGCUUGUACUAUCAUACCUACGCUUAGGAUGUUGAGUCGUAGAGCACGCAG